rnacentral:rRNA from 1 species
UACGUAGGUGACAAGCGUUGUCCGGAUUUACUGGGCGUAAAGAGCGCGCAGGCGGUCGAUCAAGUCGAGUGUGAAAGCCCCCGGCUCAACUGGGGAGGGGCAUUCGAUACUGAUCGACUCGAAGGCAGGAGAGGGUAGUGGAAUUCCCGGUGUAGUGGUGAAAUGCGUAGAUAUCGGGAGGAACACCAGUGGCGAAGGCGACUACCUGGCCUGUUCUUGACGCUGAGGCGCGAAAGCUAGGGGAGCAAACGGG